rnacentral:rRNA from 1 species
AGAGUUUGAUCCUGGCUCAGGACGAACGCUGGCGGCGUGCUUAACACAUGCAAGUCGAACGAUGAAGCCCUUCGGGGUGGAUUAGUGGCGAACGGGUGAGUAACACGUGGGCAAUCUGCCCUUCACUCUGGGACAAGCCCUGGAAACGGGGUCUAAUACCGGAUAACACUCCUGCCUGCAUGGGCGGGGGUUAAAAGCUCCGGCGGUGAAGGAUGAGCCCGCGGCCUAUCAGCUUGUUGGUGGGGUAAUGGCCCACCAAGGCGACGACGGGUAGCCGGCCUGAGAGGGCGACCGGCCACACUGGGACUGAGACACGGCCCAGACUCCUACGGGAGGCAGCAGUGGGGAAUAUUGCACAAUGGGCGAAAGCCUGAUGCAGCGACGCCGCGUGAGGGAUGACGGCCUUCGGGUUGUAAACCUCUUUCAGCAGGGAAGAAGCGAAAGUGACG